rnacentral:sRNA from 1 species
ACCGAAGGAUCGCGGAGGUGGUUGAGAACCGCCGAUGUGGUUCGACCGGAUCGCCGGAAACGAUCCGGAGCGCGACGCGGAAGCGGCGCGACCCGGAGGGCCGAAGGGCAGGACGCCCGGAGCAAUCCACCUCCCUCCACCA